rnacentral:rRNA from 1 species
AGGGUUUGAUCAUGGCUCAGAACGUACGCUGGCGGCACGCCUAACACAUGCAAGUCGAACGAAGUAGCAAUACUUAGUGGCAGACGGGUGAGUAACAUGUGGGUAUCUGCCCUUUGGCCUGGAAUAACACGAGGAAACUUGUGCUAAUACCGGAUAAGUCUUUACGGAGAAAGCUUUAUGCACCAUUGGAUGAGCCCGCACUUGAUUAGUUUGUUGGUGGGGUAAUGGCCUACCAAGACUGUGAUCAAUAGCUGAUUUGAGAGGAUGAUCAGCCACAUUGGGACUGAGACACGGCCCAAACUCCUACGGGAGGCAGCAGUGGGGAAUCUUGCACAAUGGAGGAAACUCUGAUGCAGCGAUGCCGCGUGAGUGAAGAAGGCCCUUGGGUUGUAAAGCUCUUUCGUCGGGGAAGAAAAUGACUGUACCCGAAUAAGAAGGUCCGGCUAACUUCGUGCCAGCAGCCGCGGUAAUACGAAGGGACCUAGCGUAGUUCGGAAUUACUGGGCUUAAAGAGUUCGUAGGUGGUUGAAAAAGUUAGUGGUGAAAUCCCAGAGCUUAACUCUGGAACUGCCAUUAAAACUUUUCAGCUAGAGUAUGAUAGAGGAAAGCAGAAUUUCUAGUGUAGAGGUGAAAUUCGUAGAUAUUAGAAAGAAUACCAAUUGCGAAGGCAGCUUUCUGGAUCAUUACUGACACUGAGGAACGAAAGCAUGGGUAGCGAAGAGGAUUAGAUACCCUCGUAGUCCAUGCCGUAAACGAUGUGUGUUAGACGUUGGAAAUUUAUUUUCAGUGUCGCAGCGAAAGCAUUAAGCACACCGCCUGGGGAGUACGACCGCAAGGUUAAAACUCAAAUGAAUUGACGGGGACCCGCACAAGUAGUGGAGCAUGUGGUUUAAUUCGAAGAUACGCGCAGAACCUUACCAACACUUGACAUGUUCGUCGCGACUCUGAGAGAUCAGAGUUUUCGGUUCGGCCGGACGAAACACAGGUGCUGCAUGGCUGUCGUCAGCUCGUGUCGUGAGAUGUUGGGUUAAGUCCCGCAACGAGCGCAACCCUCACUUUUAGUUGCCAUCAUUAAGUUGGGCACUCUGAAAGAACUGCCAGUGAUAAGCUGGAGGAAGGUGGGGAUGACGUCAAGUCCUCAUGGCCCUUACGUGUUGGGCUACACACGUGCUACAAUGGUAUCUACAACAGGAAGCAAGACUGCGAAGUUAAGCAAAUCCCUAAAAGAUACCUCAGUUCGGAUUGCACUCUGCAACUCGAGUGCAUGAAGCUGGAAUUACUAGUAAUCGCGGAUCAGAAUGUCGCGGUGAAUACGUUCCCGGGUCUUGUACACACCGCCCGUCAUACCAUGGGAGUGGGUUUUGCCAGAAG